rnacentral:misc_RNA from 1 species
GAUGAAGAACGUAGCGAAAUGCGAUAAGUAAUGUGAAUUGCAGAAUUCAGUGAAUCAUCGAAUCUUUGAACGCACAUUGCGCCCGCUAGUAUUCUGGCGGGCAUGCCUGUUCGAGCGUCAUUUCAACCAUCAAGCUCCUUAGCUUGUGUUGGGGACCUGCGGCUGCCGCAGCCCCCGAAAUGCAGUGGCGGGCUCGUUGUCACACCGAGUGCAGUAAUCAUUCUUCUCUCCGGGCGUGGCGGCGGGUUCCGGCCGUAAAAUCACCAAUUUAUCAAGGUUGACCUCGGAUCAGGUAGGAAUACCCGCUGAACUUAAGCAUAUCAAUAGCGGAGGA